GGGUAUCAUUGCAAGUACUGUGAUGAUGCUGGAGAGCAAAAAGACUAAGCCUGGGAGCCAGUUCAGACUGUUCUGAUAGAUCUUGGUGAAAGUGGGAAUGUAGGCUACGCCGGCCAACUUCAGGGUCAUCUGCAGCAAGUAGAGUGUUUUGUAACCGCCACACCGAAGCACGGAUUGGGAACCUACCACAUGAGGAUGCUGGAACCUGCUGCGAGACCAGAGACCUGAUUGUUGGCAUCGGGAUGAGUGCAAAGAGGUUUAAUAAACGAGCUGUGGAGACAAAAUUGAA